rnacentral:rRNA from 1 species
GAGUUUGAUCCUGGCUCAGGACUAACGCUGGCGGCGUGCCUAACACAUGCAAGUCGAACGAGUGUUUACGUGGUAGCAAUAUCGUGUAAACGCAAGUGGCGAACGGGUGAGUAACACGUAGGUAAUCUAGCUUUCCGACGGGAACAACCCAGGGAAACUUGGGCUAAUGCCCGAUAAGACCACGUCCCGGGAGGGAUGGGGCUAAAGGCGGGGCGAAAGUCUCGCGCGGGGAGGUGAGCCUGCGGCCUAUCAGCUAGUUGGUAGGGUAAAAGCCUACCAAGGCGAAGACGGGUAGCCGACCUGAGAGGGUGACCGGCCACMCKGGGACUGAGACMCGGCUCAGACUCCUACGGGAGGCAGCAGUGGGGAAUUUUGCGCAAUGGGGGAAWCCCUGACGCAGCAACGCCGCGUGAGUGAKGAAGGCUUUCGGGUCGUAAAGCUCUGUCGAGGGGAAGAAAUGGGUCGUGCUAAUAUCACGACUUCUUGACGGUACCCUCAAAGGAAGCACCGGCUAACUCCGUGCCAGCAGCCGCGGUAAUAC